UGCAGCCAAGCCGUUCUUGC
rnacentral:misc_RNA from 1 species